GCUAACAAGGGCCUGAUUUUGAAAAAAAAUGGACUUUUAGAAACUUGUAACAGUGUCCAGUUGUGAGCCCUACAAUUUGCAUUGGUCUUUUUAUGACAAAUUUCCAGUGCAAAAAAUAAUAAUAAUAAAUGAAAAACAUGUGUACUAAACUUGUUUGCAAUAUCUGAUGAUAUACAUUUCAUUUUGCUACUGAGUGCAAUAGUAUAUAUGUGCACUACUCUUUAAAAAAUGUUAAGUGUUCUGAUUUUUUGUAAUUUUGUGUCCUGAUUUUUUUUUUUUUUUUUUUUUUAAAGCCACUACAAAGUCUCAGAGACAUUUCAAGAUUUCUCUCUUCAGUCAUGGAUUAAAGAACAGAAAUUCACUACGUAAUUGCCACAAUAGUCGGGGCUUUCCCGAGUCUUGCUGUGCUAUACUCUCCUGUUUGAACAGAUAUUUGACCAUAAAAAAAUAAAACUGGUUCUUGUAAUUUCCUGCGACAGUCAGAUAUCUCUACUAGAGGAAUCUACUGCUGUGAAUACUUGUAAAGAGGUCUCACACUCAAGAAAGGUUUUAUAGUUCUGCAAGAGAUUUUGAAUCUUUUGGCCAAGCUUAAAAAGACGGCAAAAAGCUGAAAAGAGAAGCGAAGUUGCUACAGGAAAAGGUGGAGAUGAAUGUGAUGUCCAAGAAAGCUCCCAAGUUGCAGCUGCAAUUGGCGAUAUUAAUGCUGCAGAACAUGAAUUUGUUUUGUGUCUGUCAAGCAUUAAUGGUUUGAUGCAGUUAAAAGUGAUGCAUUCUUAGUGUAAAAAUUAAGUACUAACAAGCAGAGACUAAUUCCAUUAGCCAUCAAGUCAGUAAAGUGCUAGCUGGUGCUGCUGAUUGGAACUUGCAUCCUUCUAGAAAAAUCGAAAAGGAUACUAGACUUGC